CCAAUGUGGAUAUGCCUGGGAGGUCACUCUCUCCGGGCUCGAUUCGGUAGCACAGGGUUCUGCCCAAUGAUGUACAGUCUUUUUUUACAGCUAGUGAUUAAGCUGGACCAUGGGUAUAUACUUGUAUAUUCUUACAGAUGUCUUAUAGACUAUGAUUGAGGAGAAAAGCCAUGUAGGAAACUUGU
rnacentral:snoRNA from 1 species